GAGUGAACGCUGGCGGUAGGCCUACCACAUGCAAGUCGAACGGCAGCACAGUAAGAGCUUGCUCUUACGGGUGGCGAGUGGCGGACGGGUGAGGAAUACAUCGGAAUCUACUUUUUCGUGGGGGAUAACGUAGGGAAACUUACGCUAAUACCGCAUACGACCUACGGGUGAAAGCAGGGGAUCUUCGGACCUUGCGCGAUUGAAUGAGCCGAUGUCGGAUUAGCUAGUUGGCGGGGUAAAGGCCCACCAAGGCGACGAUCCGUAGCUGGCCUGAGAGGAUGAUCAGCCACACUGGAACUGAGACACGGUCCAGACUCCUACGGGAGGCAGCAGUGGGGAAUAUUGGACAAUGGGCGCAAGCCUGAUCCAGCCAUACCGCGUGGGUGAAGAAGGCCUUCGGGUUGUAAAGCCCUUUUGUUGGGAAAGAAAAGCAGCAGGUUAAUACCCCGCUGUUCUGACGGUACCCAAAGAAUAAGCACCGGCUAACUUCGUG
rnacentral:rRNA from 1 species